rnacentral:tRNA from 1 species
GGCGCUGUCGCUUAGUUGGUCAAAGUGCCAGUUUAGUAAACAAGACAUUCUGGGUUCAAAUCCAAGUAGUGCCA